AUCCCUACGGAACAACUCCGGGAAACUGGAGCUAAUACCGUAUACGCCCUUCGGGGGAAAGAUUUAUCGGGGAUGGAUGAGCCCGCGUUGGAUUAGCUAGUUGGUGGGGUAAAGGCCUACCAAGGCGACGAUCCAUAGCUGGUCUGAGAGGAUGAUCAGCCACAUUGGGACUGAGACACGGCCCAAACUCCUACGGGAGGCAGCAGUGGGGAAUAUUGGACAAUGGGCGCAAGCCUGAUCCAGCCAUGCCGCGUGAGUGAUGAAGGUCUUAGGAUUGUAAAGCUCUUUCACCGGAGAAGAUAAUGACGGUAUCCGGAGAAGAAGCCCCGGCUAACUUCGUGCCAGCAGCCGCGGUAAUACGAAGGGGGCUAGCGUUGUUCGGAAUUACUGGGCGUAAAGCGCACGUAGGCGGAUAUUUAAGUCAGGGGUGAAAUCCCAGAGCUCCACUCUGGAACUGCCUUUGAUACUGGGUAUCUUGAGUAUGGAAGAAGUAAGUGGAAUUGCGAGUGUAGAGGUGAAAUUCGUAGAUAUUCGCAGGAACACCAGUGGCGAAGCGGCUUACUGGUCCAUACUGACGCUGAGGUGCGAAAGCGUGGGGAGCACACAGGAUUAGAUACCCUGGUAGUCCACGCCGUAAACGAUGAUGUUAGCCGUCCGCAAGUUU
rnacentral:rRNA from 1 species